rnacentral:rRNA from 1 species
CGGACGGGUGAGUAAUGUCUGGGAAACUGCCUGAUGGAGGGGGAUAACUACUGGAAACGGUAGCUAAUACCGCAUAAUGUCUACGGACCAAAGCGGGGGACCUCCGGGCCUUGCGCCAUCAGAUGAACCCAUAUGGGAUUAGCUAGUAGGUGGGGUAACGGCUCACCUAGGCGACGAUCCCUAGCUGGUCUGAGAGGAUGACCAGCCACACUGGAACUGAGACACGGUCCAG